rnacentral:rRNA from 1 species
CAGGCUUAAUACAUGCAAGUCGUGGGGCAGCAUGAGUAGCAAUACUUGAUGGCGACCGGCAAACGGGUGAGGAACACGUACACAACUUCCUUCAAGCGGGGAAUAGCCCAGAGAAAUUUGGAUUAAUACCCCAUAAUAUAUUUGAUAAGGCAUCUUAUUAAUAUUAAAGCUUCGGCACUUGAUGAUGGGUGUGCGGCUGAUUAGAUAGUUGGCGGGGUAACGGCCCACCAAGUCUACGAUCAGUAGCUGAUGUGAGAGCAUGAUCAGCCACACGGGCACUGAGACACGGGCCCGACUCCUACGGGAGGCAGCAGUAAGGAAUAUUGGACAAUGGACGAAAGUCUGAUCCAGCCAUGCCGCGUGAAGGAUUAAGGUCCUCUGGAUUGUAAACUUCUUUUAUAUGGGACGAAAAAAGGGCAUUCUUGUUCACUUGACGGUACCAUAUGAAUAAGCACCGGCUAACUCCGUG